rnacentral:sRNA from 1 species
UCUGUAUGAUCAUCUCCGCGAUGUCCGCGGC